AUGGAAUAGACAUUUUUGUGUUUCCUCUCGUUGAAGACGUCGACUGUUUUCUCUUCUUCGUAUGACCAGCUCAGAAUUGAGCUUUUUCAGGAUAAACAGGAAUACAGGUCUAUUUUCAAUUGAGUUUCAUCUUAAAAGCCUCUGACUCGAUGCCAUUGAUUGACCAUCUCACUCAGGAGUGCUUACGAAGGAGUGCAGGAAGAAGAUUUGCUUUAGAGCUGGAAUGAAAAAGACAGCGUGCUUUACCAUGUAUAGCAUUUGGUGUUUGCUUAUCACGAAGGACUGAAUGAAUAACUGUCGUUUUCUUUCGAUGAUGACCUGAUUUCCAUUGGAGAAGAUGUAUUACUGUGUGACAGUACAAUCUCCAGAGGAGGGAGUUGUAAGGAGUAGGAUUUCCCAUGAGAGUACUCCAUCUAAACCCAACCAGUCAGAGUUAGAUGAAUGUAAACGCAAACUGGUACAAGAUAUUUCUC